UACGUAGGUGGCAAGCGUUGUCCGGAAUUAUUGGGCGUAAAGCGCGCGCAGGUGGUUUUCUUAAGUCUGAUGUGAAAGCCCACGGCUCAACCGUGGAGGGUCAUUGGAAACUGGGGAACUUGAGUGCAGGAGAGAAGAGUGGAAUUCCACGUGUAGCGGUGAAAUGCGUAGAGAUGUGGAGGAACACCAGUGGCGAAGGCGACAUCCUGGACCGACACUGACGCUGAGGCGCGAAAGCUAGGGGAGCAAACGGG
rnacentral:rRNA from 1 species